rnacentral:rRNA from 1 species
GGAAUAUUGGACAAUGGCCGGAAGGCUGAUCCAGCCAUGCCGCGUGCGGGAAGACGGCCCUAUGGGUUGUAAACCGCUUUUGUUGGGGAGCAAUAAGGAGCACGUGUGCUUCGAUGAGAGUACCCAGCGAAUAAGCAUCGGCUAACUCCGUGCCAGCAGCCGCGGUAAUACGGAGGAUGCGAGCGUUAUCCGGAUUUAUUGGGUUUAAAGGGUGCGUAGGCGGACUUUUAAGCGUGAGGUGAAAUGCGCGGGCUCAACCUGUGAACUGCCUCGCGAACUGGGAGUCUUGAAUGUCCGUGCCGUGGGAGGAAUGUGUGGUGUAGCGGUGAAAUGCAUAGAGAUCACACAGAACACCGAUUGCGAAGGCAUCUCACGAACGGAUGAUUGACGCUGAGGCACGAAAGCGUGGGGAUCAAACA